rnacentral:rRNA from 1 species
UACGUAGGGUGCGAGCGUUAAUCGGAGUUACUGGGCGUAAAGCGUGCGCAGGCGGUGAGCUGUGUCCGAUGUGAAAGCCCCGGGCUUAACCUGGGAAUGGCAUUGGAAACUGGCUCGCUGGAGUGUGGCAGAGGGGGGUGGAAUUCCGCGUGUAGCAGUGAAAUGCGUAGAGAUGCGGAGGAACACCGAUGGCGAAGGCAGCCCCCUGGGCUAACACUGACGCUCAGGCACGAAAGCGUGGGGAGCAAACAGG